rnacentral:sRNA from 1 species
UAUUCUGCCCCACGGGGAAGGAUGAGAAGCUUCGACCAAGGUUCGACUCGAGCGAAGCGAGAGAACGUUGCCGCAGGCAACGGCCCGAAGGAGCGAGGAGCGAUAGCGACGAGUUAUCCUUCCCCACCACCA